CCUACGGGAGGCAGCAGUGAGGAAUAUUGGUCAAUGGACGAGAGUCUGAACCAGCCAAGUAGCGUGAAGGAUGACUGCCCUAUGGGUUGUAAACUUCUUUUAUAUGGGAAUAAAAUGUUCCACGUGUGGGAUUUUGUAUGUACCAUAUGAAUAAGGAUCGGCUAACUCCGUGCCAGCAGCCGCGGUAAUACGGAGGAUCCGAGCGUUAUCCGGAUUUAUUGGGUUUAAAGGGAGCGUAGGUGGAUUGUUAAGUCAGUUGUGAAAGUUUGCGGCUCAACCGUAAAAUUGCAGUUGAAACUGGCAGUCUUGAGUACAGUAGAGGUGGGCGGAAUGCGUGGUGUAGCGGUGAAAUGCAUAGAUAUCACGAAGAACUCCGAUUGCGAAGGCAGUUCACUGGACUGCAACUGACACUGAGGCUCGAAAGUGUGGGUAUCAAACAGGAUUAGAUACCCUAGUAGUC
rnacentral:rRNA from 1 species